rnacentral:tRNA from 1 species
GAAGCUGUAGCUCAGGGGUAAAGCGCUUGCUUGGCAUGCAUGAGGCACUGAGUUUGAUCCUUAGCAUCA